rnacentral:tRNA from 1 species
GUAGACUUCGGUCACGACGGUAUGGCGAGCUUUCGCCGUCCACGUUUCUCUUUCUUCAAAAGGAUAUCGAACCAUUGGUUUGCGCUCACGCACGUACCGCCCUUCGGGCUGUGCUCCGCGGGGGCGCCGGACGACCGGCGACGGCCUCUGGCCUGUAUGGGAGAGCCUUGAUAGGCUUGAAGUUCGGCGAGAUGGGCCCGUAGCUCAGUUGGUUAGAGCACACGCUUGAUAAGCGUGGGGUCGGAAGUUCAAGUCUUCCCGGGCCCACCAUUUGCACCGGCAAAUGAGGUUUGCUGUAGCGAAUUGUGGUUUGUUUGGGUUUACUGAUCCUGGCGGUUUGCUGUCAGGUGUUUGCGAUGGUUGGGGCUGUAGCUCAGCUGGGAGAGCACCUGCUUUGCAAGCAGGGGGUCAGCGGUUCGAUCCCGCUCAGCUCCACCAAUUCGCUUGGUGUCGAGACUGAGAGAUAUCCUUUGAAGAAAUAAAAGUUUUGCACCGGCUUAGGCUGGUGCAUGUUCUGCAUACAUUGUGAAGAGAAGAUUGAUCUGGAGGCUUCCAGGUGUUUUGGGUUCUGCCCAAGGCGUCCGAGCCCGAUCCUUAUGAUAUCGUCGAUGGCCUAGCCGGCCGGACGCGAUGGAGGGGUCGGAGGUAGGAAGGAAGCUUGUCGCUCUGGGCUGUCAGCGUAAAACCGCGUAGCGGUUUAUCGCGUGUUGUUUGUUUAUCCUUAGGGGUGAGCAUCUGACGGACGGCUUGAUUA